rfam:Gemmatirosa kalamazoonesis strain KBS708, complete genome.
GGAGAGAUGGCCGAGUGGCUGAAGGCACCGGUUUGCUAAACCGGCAUAGGGGGUCAACCCCUAUCGGGGGUUCGAAUCCCCCUCUCUCCG